GGUUGAUCCUGCCGGACCCCACUGCUAUCGGGAUGGGACUAAGACAUGCUAGUCGAGCGCCUUCCAGCUAUGUGGAAGGAGCGGCGCACAGCUCAGUAACACGUGGCUAACCUGCCCUCGGGAUAGGAAUACCCCCGGGAAACUGGGGCUAAUUCCCAAUAGGCGGAGAACUCUGGAAUGAGUCUCCACCCGAAAAGACGCUUAGAUCAUGCUUCUAAGCUUCGCCCGAGGAUGGGGCCGCGACCGAUCAGGUUGUUGGUGAGGUAAUGGCCCACCAAGCCUAUAACCGGUG
rnacentral:rRNA from 1 species